CCCUUCCUCCUUCCCUUCGUUUUCUCCGUUUGAUUUAAAUCAGGGCUAGAUCUUGACCUCUCUAUCUGUUUCUCUCCCUACUUCUGUCACUUUGUUUUAUGAUCACUUCUUCAACUUCAUUUUGAGUCAUAUUUUUUCUUUUUCCUUUUCACCUUUUUUUUGCUCAAGUGUUCUUGUUGAUUUCCAAGUUUUUUGUUGUUUAUUUGUUAUUUUAUUUCCAAUUUUUUUCUGGUUCUUUAUUCGUUAUUUUCCACUUCUUGUUUUAAAAAAGAAAUUACUCCAGAAAACCUCUUUUUUUUUUUCUUUUUUUUCUGUUUCUCAAUUUGUUGUUCUUUAAUUUUUUUUCCCCACUUGUAACUACAUCUAUAUAACCAACAAAAAAAAUCAAGAAACCUCAAAACCAUGAAUUACCAACAAAAAAAGAGUAGCAGAGGUGUUGGUUUUGUGUGAUUUUAUUUCGCUCAUAAAUUUCUGGGUCUUACUGGUUUCUUAGAGGUAUAUAUACUCUCUGAGGGCUCUUUUGUGUUGGGAACCUUGUAAACCAUUUGUUAAUUGCCACGUAUACUUACAAGACAGCUAGAUCUCUCUGAGCUCUGUUGGACUCUUCGUCUCUCUUUGUUUUCAAGUUUUCUCUAGCUUUUACUUUAGUUCUCUUACACAAUCCAAUAUGCAUGGAACAUGGAUCGACAUUCAAAAGUCAUUGUUUGCAGGUGCAGCAUCAUCAAGAUUCACAUUCAAACAGAUGUACGGCAGCUAGCUAGCUAGAUAGAUAGACAGCAAUGUAUUUCUUUGAAGGUGAGAAUCUUGAUGAUGCUGCAUCAGCCAUAAAUGACUGUAUAUACACACCUGAAAUAGUUGGAUCUAAGAUUUUCUGCUUCUAAACAAGGAGUCUAUUUGGAAUUCCCAUUUAUUGUUAACACGCUGUGAGACGUACAGGAACUAGCAUCUAUAUAGAUGUAAGAACGCUGAAAUCAGUCCUUAAUGUCAUAUAUAUUGGUUAUGAUCAUAGUACUGCUUUCAAAAAUUAACACCCUUUUGUGCUUGUGUUUAUGUAUUAGCUAGGUUAUUUCUGAAGACGAACUUGGUUCUUGUAGUUUAGGGUUUUGUUAAUUAAUUUGGUUAGGCAUAAAGGAAGUUAGAGCUUGAUGGAGAGUAUAUGAAAUAGUGGUGUGUAUGCUUGUUUGAUUAAUGAAUUCUUUGUAGUUGUGUUUUUGUGUCACUCAACUAAUUAAUUCAUGAUUACCUAAUUAAGAGCUUAGAAUUUCCAAUUUCAGUUUCCAUACAUACAUACAUACAUAUCCAAGCUUGAUGAAGCAACUUGGCUACAAGUCAUGGUGGAGCUUCUUUAGCAUCUCCAUAUCACUGUUACAAUCAACAAACUAUUCAUUGCUCCAAGUGUGCGCGCUUCCUUGAUACAUAUGAAUAUUAAUUGCUCUUUGAUUUCCUCCAUGAUUCUAGAGUACUCUCCUUUACCACUAUUCCUUGUGGAUCAGUCAAAGGGAAAAACAAAUACAAUGCAUUAUAUAUAUGACCUUAAAUUUUGCUUUUGAAAUAUUCUCUUAAUUAUAAUAUACUUGCUUUAUUCACCAUGAACAUGCAUGUCCAAGCAGCCUGCAGUACGUACAGAAAUCUCUUUUGGAUAUCGCAUAUAUAUCCUUUUGUUGUUUCCUCUAUUUUUGUCCGAAUCUGAACUAUUUCAUAAAUACUUUUUGAUUUGGGUAUCUUGCAGUCAUUUCCUAUAGAAUUCAACCUUCUCAUCUAUGGAGUCCUUCCAAAGGGAAUCUGUAAGGAAAUAUAUAUUGAGUUUCAAUGUGCAUGAAGAAUUUGGAAGAGCACAUUAUUAUUCAAUUCACACACUAGCCGUUAAGGACAUGUUUACAGUCAGACUUAAGCUGGCUGAAUGUCCCACAAGCAAAACAGACAAUAAAACAAGAGAGAGCCUUAGCUAGCUGUAACUCAGCAAGAUAAAAGAUCAUUAUUAUGCUUCUGAUAUGUGACUUGCAUUAUUUUUUCAACCUAUACACGUGAGUAAACAUGGGCUCAUGGCAAUACGAAUUGAUUACAACUUGGCUCAAAUAUUAGUCUGUUAAUUAGGUAGGAGAUAUUCAGAUUUUUCCUUAAACAUUUUAUGAUCAUCUGUAUUAUGAUAUGCAUACAAGUAUUUCAUUAUAUUGCAGAAGGACUGCUACAAAGAGAAUCGCCUUAAUUCGUGGAGUUGCAUAAUGUUUUGAACUUGUGCUUGACAUUUUUUUCUCAAUGGGACCAGCUAUAAAUUAAGGCAAGCAAACUACUUAGCUACUGUAAUUUUGUUUUCUGGUGCCAACAGGUGUAAUUCCAGUUGGAUAUGACUUAGAGAGGCCUAAAAGGGCAUUACGGUGUCUGUGAUCAUCUACACACAGGUACCAGUCCCUGGAUCUGAAGAAGAAUCUUAAGCCAAGUCAUGUGGGGGCAAUUAGAGACAAAAGCUGUUGUGUCAAUUGACAAGUGAAGGAAAGAGUAGCAAAUCAUUCUUGCUUGUUAAGGUCCACAAGUACACAGAGUAGGGAAAGAAACAACAGUAUGGUGACCUAUGCGAUCAUAGCAAAUCAACUUGGUAAAAAUGCACUUGAACAUAAUGCAAUUUUGGAUGUGCAUGUCAGUCUUUCAGUGCUUACACUUUUCCAUAUAUAGCUAUGGGAGGGCUUAAUAUAUAUAUAUCAAUGUUUCUCGUGAAAAUUUAAGUCACAUUUUUGCCUUUCAUUUGCUAUAUAUGGCAUUGAUGCACCUUUUCUUUGAAUAUACAUAUAAAUUCAUUUGAAAUAUCCUCGGCAGCAGUUAAUACAUUGAUUCUUAAAGUACCCAUUGGUAAUUAAAGUGAUCUUUGAUAUGGAAUUAUAUAUACGAGGAUUGAAGGAGCCUAAUUGAUAUGCAUAUAUCGAUUCUUUCUUAUGAAUUAGGAAUGAUCCAUUAAACACCAGAGAAAAAAAUAAAAAAA